rnacentral:rRNA from 1 species
GCACAGAUAAUAGUAAGCCCAAUGGCUAAACGCAUUAGUUUACCCCAUACUAAUGAUGACGCUAUCUUGCGCCCAUAAGCAGUUCCGCCCCGGGGAUGCAUGGCCGGGAAGCUGCCAACAGUUUCUGGCACCUUAUAGAGUAGGCAGCCGCUGCAUUCCACCGAUGUGUGCGCUCGCCUAUGUGAGUCAAUGCAUGCGUCCCCCGAUUCGUGAAUCGUUCCCCCAUGGUCUUGAUCCGGCCAUUAAAGUACACCUUCACUUCGGCAUGGUGAUGGCUCCAACUUUUUUCUCACGUUAAGAUUCCCCUCGCCGUGGAAUGAUCUACAAGGUCUCCGACCUCAAGUAGUAAGUAAUCUACAAGGUUUCCGUAGGUGAACCUGCGGAAGGAUCAUUACAGUAUUCUUUUGCCAGCGCUUAACUGCGCGGCGAAAAACCUUACACACAGUGUCUUUUUGAUACAGAACUCUUGCUUUGGUUUGGCCUAGAGAUAGGUUGGGCCAGAGGUUUAACAAAACACAAUUUAAUUAUUUUUACAGUUAGUCAAAUUUUGAAUUAAUCUUCAAAACUUUCAACAACGGAUCUCUUGGUUCUCGCAUCGAUGAAGAACGCAGCGAAAUGCGAUAAGUAAUAUGAAUUGCAGAUUUUCGUGAAUCAUCGAAUCUUUGAACGCACAUUGCGCCCUCUGGUAUUCCAGAGGGCAUGCCUGUUUGAGCGUCAUUUCUCUCUCAAACCCCCGGGUUUGGUAUUGAGUGAUACUCUUAGUCGGACUAGGCGUUUGCUUGAAAAGUAUUGGCAUGGGUAGUACUAGAUAGUGCUGUCGACCUCUCAAUGUAUUAGGUUUAUCCAACUCGUUGAAUGGUGUGGCGGGAUAUUUCUGGUAUUGUUGGCCCGGCCUUACAUACAACCAAACAAGUUGACCUCAAUGUACAUAGGAAAAAAAAAUYCAUUCGC